AUGAAUAUCCUUCCUUGGAACUGUCGAGGACUGGGGUUGGACUCGACGGUUGGCGAACUAAGAGACCUGAUACGGUCCUACAACCCAGCGGUGGUAUUCUUAUGUGAAAUGAAGAAAAGGGCUAAGGCGAUGGAGAGGAUCAAGUGGAGUCUUGGAUUCAGAAGUGGUGUUGCUGUGGAUUGCCAGGGUUUAAGUGGUGGACUAGCACUUUGGUGGAGAGAUAACAUUCAGGUCACCAUCAGACCAUGGUGCCAGUAUUUUAUAGAUGCUGAGGUCAACGUGGAUGGCAAGGCGUGUAGGUUCACUGGUUUCUACGGCGAGCCAAAAACAGAGCUGCGCAAGAAAUCAUGGGAUGCCCUACAAUAUCUAUGA
rnacentral:rRNA from 1 species